GACGAACGCUGGCGGCGUGCCUAACACAUGCAAGUCGAGCGAGUGAAUCUCCUUCGGGAGUGAAGCUAGCGGCGGACGGGUGAGUAACACGUGGGCAACCUGCCUCAUAGAGGGGAAUAGCCUUUCGAAAGGAAGAUUAAUACCGCAUAAGAGUGUAGACUCGCAUGAAGUAGCAAUUAAAGGAGCAAUCCGCUAUGAGAUGGGCCCGCGGCGCAUUAGCUAGUUGGUGAGGUAACGGCUCACCAAGGCGACGAUGCGUAGCCGACCUGAGAGGGUGAUCGGCCACAUUGGGACUGAGACACGGCCCAGACUCCUACGGGAGGCAGCAGUGGGGAAUAUUGCACAAUGGGGGAAACCCUGAUGCAGCAACGCCGCGUGAGUGAUGACGGCCUUCGGGUUGUAAAGCUCUGUCUUCAGGGACGAUAAUGACGGUACCUGAGGAGGAAGCCACGGCUAACUACGUGCCAGCCGCCGCGGUAACAC
rnacentral:rRNA from 1 species